GUCCACGCCGUAAACGAUGGAUGCUAGCCGUUAGGCAGCUUGCUGCUUAGUGGCGCAGUUAACGCUUUAAGCAUCCCGCCUGGGGAGUACGGUCGCAAGAUUAAAACUCAAAGGAAUUGACGGGGGCCCCGCACAAGCGGUGGAGCAUGUGGUUUAAUUCGACGCAACGCGCAGAACCUUACCGGCUCUUGACAUGUCCCGUUUGGGUUCCAGAGAUGGGAUCCUUCAGUUCGGCUGGCGGGAACACAGGUGCUGCAUGGCUGUCGU
rnacentral:rRNA from 1 species